UCACCCUAGAAAACCACUUACAAUCAAAAACCGCUAAUAUUUUACAAAAUUCAGUUCAGCUUUACAUUUGGGGUGUGGGGCAUUUUAAAGUACAGACUCCUUGACGCAAGUCUACUCCAGCUUCUUACUUGAACCUCAUUUUCUGAAAGUCCAAAGUCUGGCCAUUCUGCAUAAACAGCACUUCAGAGAAACCAGUCAGCAGUUUUCUGGCGCUGCCUUAGUUUGAAAAACUUUACAUCAUGAGAAAGCAAGCCUUUUCUUGCACUUCUUAGGUGUAAACUGACGAAAAUUCUCAGUAGAGCUACAAUGACUCAAAGAGCUUUGCCCUCUGUACACUCAAAAUAUGUAGUUGAACUGAAUUUCAGUUGUUAUUUUUAAAGCCAUAAGUGACAAAGGCACUUUCUUAAUCUCCCUGAGAAAAGCAGUAUAGUGACAUAAGGGUGAAGCAGCCAGAAAAGCCAAAGUGGAGGGUGCGAUAAAAAGCCCGCACUGGAGCACACUGUCUUCACUCUCCUUUGGAAUAAAAUUUCGAUGCCUCGUUUAUAAAGUGAGCCGCCCUAAGGCUUAGUUGAAAUAAGUAAAAUGGUCAUCAGAAUCAGUGGAGGGUUUGAGGUUGCAGGAUCCCUCCUCUCCCCCAGUAGUGUUUCCGAUUCUGCAGGGCAAUUUGCAUUUCUAACAAAUUCUCGGGUGAUGGUGACCCAUCUGGCCCUAAGGCCACAGAGACCCCAAGUGGUUCGUGGCAGGACCUCAAUAAAUGCUAUUAACAUCACCAUCCAAGCUGUCCACCAGCAGGGGCCAUGGGAUAUUACGUCUCAGGGAAGAGCGACGGCCUCUGUCCAGAUGUUCCUGCCAACACGCCACGUCUCUGCACCGAAUAGAUUAGAACAGGGAGGAAGUUGGAGCAGCGGUCACUGCCUUACGGAAGGGGACCCCUUCCUCCAACUUCCGCCUCUGGGGAAAAAUAGAGGCCAUCCGCCCCCGGAGUCCUGCCCUCCCAAUUUCGCAGCCGCUGUUUUUAGCCCGCGCGGGAGCCUGUCCUCUCAGAAACCUGGGGCCAGUGCCGCGAUUCCCGCUCUCCCGGGCGGGGCGGAGGCAGGUGCGGAGCAUAUGGAGUCCGGCGGGUGGGCGUGGCGGGGAGCAGAGCUCUCUGCCCCCAUCCCGCCAGCUCUCCGGUCCGUUCCGAUCGCCCACGGACCGAUGGCCGAGCGGAAGAUGGCUGCCCGGAGCGCCACGGACAGUCACGUGCCACGGCGAUGCCGCUGCACGCCCCCUCCCCCGCUCGCCGAGUCCCGGACCCAGCGGGACGCGCAGCCCCGGGUUGCCUCUCCGCCAGCGGAGUACAGAACGGGCGAGGACAGCAUGAACAUCCAUAAAUGUGCCUGUGGGCAUAUUUAGCCAUUCGUUUUUGAUUAGGAAAAAGAAGACGGCCAUCCACUUGAAAGGCAAAGCUGCAGUGACCGAAGGAGUUGUGGAUUUUCUGAAUUUCAAGAACAGUGAAGUAGGAGAUAGCAGAGAGUGUAUAAAAGAACAC
rnacentral:lncRNA from 1 species